rnacentral:rRNA from 1 species
UACAGAGGGGGCAAGCGUUGUUCGGAAUUACUGGGCGUAAAGGGCGCGUAGGCGCCUUCUAAGUCGAACGUGAAAUCCCCGGGCUCAACCCGGGAACUGCGUCCGAUACUGGAAGGCUUGAAUCCGGGAGAGGGAUGUGGAAUUCCAGGUGUAGCGGUGAAAUGCGUAGAUAUCUGGAAGGAACACCGGUGGCGAAGGCGGCAUCCUGGACCAAUACUGACGCUGACGGAGCGAAAGCCAGGGGAGCAAACGGGAUAAGAAAC